rnacentral:lncRNA from 1 species
GGCAUAUUCCAUAUGGAUUUGAGUAUGUGACAAGAAGUUACCUUUAGUGGUCGUCAAGUUAAUAGUGCCAUGUGUUCUCAUACUGGCUCUUUCUCAUUCUUUCAAUAGUUUCCAUGUUCCUCCUAGCUGCUCUCUGGAAUCAAACUCUCCCCAAAAGCAGUGUAUUUAAGCUCAGUCAUAGAUUCUGCUUUCUGUGGACCUCAACGCAGAUCAGUUUGCUUUUCUGAAAACCUCUUAAGUUUCUAGCACAUUAGGAAUAUUACUGAAGCCACUUUUCCUGACUAAAAAUCCUGCAUGUUCUGACUUCAUGUCCACAAGUACCUUAUGUGUGAUUUUUGGACAUUUGUGUCUCAGUUUCAUGUUAUUUCUCAGAAUUCCCUCAACUGUCCAAUCCUGCAGUUUAAAUCUUUUAUUUCCUAUUGGUCAGUCCACUUAAUUUCUCUAGCACUUACUAUGGUUAACCAUUUUAAAGUUUUUUCUUGAGUUUGUCACUGUUAUGUAAGCUCCUUAAGAUUAGAGACUUCAACUUUAUUGUUCAUUACUGUAUCCUCUUCACCGCUUACAGUGUCUGGCACACAGGAAGCACUCAGUAAAUUUUUAGUCAAAGAGCAAAUGAAUGAAAUCACCAUCUGCAACUUAAUGCCCCAUAUAGGUUAAACUUCCUCUUCACAAUAUUUUCCAAUGCUACUAUCCUUUCUUAUGAUAUCCAUCUCUCUUUUUAUUUAUUCCAUUAUGUUUUCAUCUCAUCCUUCCUUCCCCUUGUGGAUUUGAUCCUGUUUCAUAAGGAGUUAUAUGAGUGAUGCUUGGGUAGCAAGUCCUGCCAAUGAAGAACUUCAACAGCCAUGGCAUAGAGUUUGUCUUUGAUACUGAGGGCUAAA